GUUCGAUUCGAGCGAAAGCGAGAAAGCGUUGCCGCAGGCAACGACCCGAAGGGCGAAGCGCGCAGCGCUGAGUCAUCCUUCCCCCACCACCA
rnacentral:sRNA from 4 species